rnacentral:lncRNA from 1 species
GGAGGAGAAAGGUGGGAGGCUGGGGGGAAGGGGAGGGAAGAGGGGCCCUCCAGGGAUCUGUGUAUUCUAUUUCUCCAUCUCAGUGGUGGUUGCCUGGAUUGUCCACUCUGACUAUUCAUUGAGCCUAUACUAAUUAUUUGUGUACUUUUGAGCAUAUGUAUUAUUUUCUUAAACAAAGCAGUAACAAAUAUAAAGUCUGAUCCCAGGCCAGAAUCACUGGAUCAGUCUCUGGGGAGUGGGGAGGGUCCAGCAUGGGAGGUUUCGUGGUGUCUGGGGUGUGGCUCUGAUGUAUGUCAGGGUCACCACCUGCCCUGGCCUAUGCACAGCCCUCCCUUCUUCCCACUCUCGCUCCCCACCUGCCUAUCUCCUUGACCUUUCUGUUCCUUGAACUUGCCAGGUGCUUUCCCGCCCCAGUCUUUUGCACCUGCUGUUCUUUGGGCUCUGAGUGCUCUUUCCUAGCUGGAUCCAAGUCACCCCCUUAAAGCAACCUUCCCUGCCCUAUCUAUCCACAACAGGCCGCUUGACCCAGAUACCCUCUGGUACAUCAUCCUGUUUAUUUCAUUUAUUAUUCUAGAGACAAUGCCUGUGUUCACCAAAUUCUAUUUCUUUUUCCGGGAAGAUUUAAAGGAGGACUCUAUUUUCCAGUCUCCCUUGCAGUGAGGUCAGGGUUAGGGGGUUGUAGACGGAAGCAAUGCCUUCCACUUCCAGAUGUUGUCACGGGCCCCCGCGUGGUCCACACUCCCUGUUCCUGUGCGGUGACCAAGGCGGCCACUCACGUCAGUAGGAAGGGCUCAGGGAUGUGAGGAGCCUGGGUCUUGGUGUGACCACUAGGAGGAGCAUUGCCAAGAAGAGCUGCCCGGACCACACUCGACUGUGAUAUAAACAAGAAACAAACCUUUCCGCAAACCUAUGAGAUGUGAGUGUGUUUUCUACUGCAGCAGAACCUACACUAUCCCAGUGCAGGAAGCGCUCAUUGCAAAUGGAGGUUAUCUUGUUGAUUUUUGGUUAAACUUCUCAUGUCACGUUUUCUGACAACACCUUCCAUUGUACCAUCUGUUUCUGAACAAUACCUGGGACAUUGCAAACUUGUUCUGCAAGAAUACCCUGGGUCUCAGUGUGUGUGACAAGGGAUGGAAGAAUUCACCAGUAAAACCACCUGGACCUGAAAUUUUUUCAUGGGAAAGUUUUUGAUGAUGUAUUCAAUCUCUACUCAAAUGUUCUAUUUCAUCUUGUGUCAAUUUUGAGUUUUGCUCUUGUUGCCCAAGCUGGAGUUCAAUGGU